CCUACGGGAGGCAGCAGUGAGGAAUAUUGGUCAAUGGGCGGAAGCCUGAACCAGCCAAGUCGCGUGAGGGAAGAAGGCCCUACGGGUCGUAAACCUCUUUUGCCGGGGAGCAAGGGCGGGGACGUGUGCCGGCCCGGAGAGUACCCGGAGAAAAAGCAGCGGCGAACUCCGUGCCAGCAGCCGCGGUAAUACGGAGGAUGAGAGCGUUAGCCGGAUUUAGUGGGUGUAAAGGGGGAGCAGACGGCGAUGCAAGCCAGGGGUGAAAGCCCGGGGCCUAACCCCGGGACGGCGCUGGGAACUGCGUGGCUAGAGUGCACGAGAGGCAGGCGGAAUUCCUGGUGUAGCGGUGAAAUGCGUAGAUAUCAGGAGGAACACCGGUGGCGAAGGCGGCCUGCUGGACUGCAACUGACGUUGAGGCCCGAAAGCGUGGGGAGCAAACAGGAUUAGAUACCCUAGUAGUC
rnacentral:rRNA from 1 species